rnacentral:rRNA from 1 species
AUUGAACGCUGGCGGCAGGCCUAACACAUGCAAGUCGAGCGAGCGGCGGACGGGUGAGUAAUGUCUGGGAAACUGCCUGAUGGAGGGGGAUAACUACUGGAACCGGUAGCUAAGAACGCUUACCAUACGACGUGCGAACAUGGGAUUAGCUAGUAGGUGGGGUAACGGCUCACCUAGGCGACGAUCCCUCGCUGGUCUGAGAGGAUGACCAGACACACUGGGACUGAGACACGGUCCAGAGUCCUACGGGAGGCAGCAGUGGGGAAUAUUGCACAAUGGGCGCAAGCCUGCAGCAGCAAUGCCGCGUGUAUGAAGAAGUCCUUCGGGUUGUAAAGUACUUUCAGCGGGGAGGCGUUUCCAACCUAUGAAGCACCGGCUAACUCCGUGCCAGCAGCCGCGGUAAUAC